UUAUACUAGUUUGAUGAGUUUUUAACUUUUGAUUAGUUGUUAAUCUUGGUUUCUGUUUGGAUCACUGCUGUUCUGCUGCAGAUUUUGAAAAUUAACAAGCACUCUGCUGCACUCCUCAAUGGAAGACAAAGUCAGUUUGGUCGGGUUAUUGGAUCUCAUGUUAAGGACGAAUUGAAGAACUCAAAUUGGUUUUAAACAGCAAACUGAAUAGAAAAGGUUUGGAUUCAAGCUGAAUUGGUUUAGUGCUGAUUUUUUUUUCUGGCUCAAGAGACAGGAUUUCUGGUCAAGGAGAGGAGUGAAGGAGAAAUGGGUUCUGCACUCAGAUGAGUUUUUAGCCUCUCCAAAGUUGGAAACGUUAAAGAUCUUGCAAGAUUAGGUUGUGGUCAAUUGUUAUAAAG